rnacentral:rRNA from 1 species
AUGAACGCUAGCGACAGGCCUAACACAUGCAAGUCGAGGGGCAUCGGGGCGAGGAGCAAUCCUUGCCGCCGGCGACCGGCGCACGGGUGAGUAACGCGUAUGCGACCUGCCCGUUGCAGGGGGAUAAUCGGGAGAAAUCCCGUCUAAUACCGCGUAAUGCCGCGGGGCUGCAUGGCCCUGCGGCCAAAGGGAGCGAUUCCGGCAACGGAUGGGCAUGCGUGACAUUAGCUAGUUGGCGGGCAACGGCCCACCAAGGCGACGGUGUCUAGGGGUUCUGAGAGGAAGGUCCCCCACACUGGUACUGAGACACGGACCAGACUCCUACGGGAGGCAGCAGUGAGGAAUAUUGGUCAAUGGGCGCGAGCCUGAACCAGCCAAGUCGCGUGAGGGAUGACGGCCCUACGGGUUGUAAACCUCUUUUGUCGGGGAGCAAAUUCCGCCACGUGUGGCGGAGUCGAGAGUACCCGAAGAAAAAGCAUCGGCUAACUCCGUGCCAGCAGCCGCGGUAAUACGGAGGAUGCGAGCGUUAUCCGGAUUUAUUGGGUUUAAAGGGUGCGUAGGCGGACUGUCAAGUCAGCGGUAAAAUACGGGGGCUCAACCUCCGCCCGCCGUUGAAACUGACGGUCUUGAGUGGGCGAGAAGUAUGCGGAAUGCGUGGUGUAGCGGUGAAAUGCAUAGAUAUCACGCAGAACUCCGAUUGCGAAGGCAGCAUACCGGCGCCCGACUGACGCUGAAGCACGAAAGCGUGGGUAUCGAACAGGAUUAGAUACCCUGGUAGUCCACGCAGUAAACGAUGAAUACUAGCUGUCCGGGGCGAAUGAGCCCUGGGUGGCACAGCGAAAGCGUUAAGUAUUCCACCUGGGGAGUACGCCGGCAACGGUGAAACUCAAAGGAAUUGACGGGGGCCCGCACAAGCGGAGGAACAUGUGGUUUAAUUCGAUGAUACGCGAGGAACCUUACCCGGGCUCAAACGACACAGGAACGUACCUGAAAGGGUUCGGCUCUACGGAGCCUGUGUCGAGGUGCUGCAUGGUUGUCGUCAGCUCGUGCCGUGAGGUGUCGGCUUAAGUGCCAUAACGAGCGCAACCCCCAUCGACAGUUGCUAACAGGUCAGGCUGAGGACUCUGUCGAGACUGCCGGCGCAAGCUGCGAGGAAGGCGGGGAUGACGUCAAAUCAGCACGGCCCUUACGUCCGGGGCGACACACGUGUUACAAUGGCAGGUACAGCGGGAAGCCACCUGGCGACAGGGAGCGGAACCCGAAAGCCUGUCUCAGUUCGGAUUGGAGUCUGCAACCCGACUCCAUGAAGCUGGAUUCGCUAGUAAACGCGCAUCAGCCACGGCGCGGUGAAUUCGUUCCCGGGCCUUGUACACACCGCCCGUCAAGCCAUGGAAGCCGGGGGUGCCUGAAGUGCGCUGCCGCGAGGAGCGCCCUAGGGUAAAACCGGUGACUGGGGCUAAGUCGUAACAAGGUAACCG